rnacentral:tRNA from 1 species
AAGGGUGUAGCUCAGUGGUAGAGUGAGUGCUUAGCAUGCACAAGGUUCUGGGUUCAAUCCCCAGUAUCUCCA